GAUGAACGCUAGCGGCAGGCCUAAUACAUGCAAGUCGAGGGGCAGCACGGAUAGCAAUAUCUGGUGGCGACCGGCGCACGGGUGCGUAACGCGUAUGCAACCUACCUUUUACUGGGGGAUAGCUCCGAGAAAUCGGGAUUAAUACCCCAUAACAUUCAGAUGUCGCAUGGCAUUUGGAUUAAAGCUCCGGCGGUAGAAGAUGGGCAUGCGUGCCAUUAGCUAGUUGGUGAGGUAACGGCUCACCAAGGCGACGAUGGCUAGGGGUUCUGAGAGGAAGGUCCCCCACACUGGAACUGAGACACGGUCCAGACUCCUACGGGAGGCAGCAGCGAGGAAUAUUGGACAAUGGAUGGAAAUCUGAUCCAGCCAUGCCGCGUGAAGGAAGAAUGUCCUAUGGAUUGUAAACUUCUUUUGUAUGGGAGCAAUAAGGUCUUCGUGAAGACUGAUGAGAGUACCAUACGAAUAAGCAUCGGCUAACUCCGUG
rnacentral:rRNA from 1 species